GUGGGGAAUCUUGCGCAAUGGGCGAAAGCCUGACGCAGCAACGCCGCGUGGGGGAUGAAGGCCUUCGGGUUGUAAACCUCUUUCACCAUCGACGAAGCCUUUCGGGGUGACGGUAGGUGGGGAAGAAGCACCGGCUAACUACGUGCCAGCAGCCGCGGUAAUACGUAGGGUGCGAGCGUUGUCCGGAUUUAUUGGGCGUAAAGAGCUCGUAGGCGGUUUGUCGCGUCUAUCGUGAAAACCGGGAGCUUAACUCCUGGCUUGCGGUGGAUACGGGCAGACUUGAGUUCGGUAGGGGAGACUGGAAUUCCUGGUGUAGCGGUGAAAUGCGCAGAUAUCAGGAGGAACACCGGUGGCGAAGGCGGGUCUCUGGGCCGAUACUGACGCUGAGGAGCGAAAGCGUGGGGAGCGAACAGGAUUAGAAACCCCAGUAGUCC
rnacentral:rRNA from 1 species